rnacentral:rRNA from 1 species
UGCAACUCGACUCCAUGAAGCUGGAUUCGCUAGUAAUCGCGCAUCAGCCAUGGCGCGGUGAAUACGUUCCCGGGCCUUGUACACACCGCCCGUCAAGCCAUGGAAGCCGGGAGUGCCUGAAGUGUGCAACCGCAAGGAGCGCCCUAAGGUAAAACUGGUGACUGGGGCUAAGUCGUAACAAGGUAGC